AAGUCAGAUGUGAAAGCCUUCUGUUCAACGGAAGAAUUGCAUCUGAAACUGCGAGUCUUGAGUGUAGGAGGGGAGAAUGGAACUUCUGGUGGAGCGGUGAAAUGCGUAGAUAUCAGAAGGAACGCCGGCGGCGAAAGCGAUUCUCUGGCCUAUUACUGACACUCAGUGUGCGAAAGCUAGGGGAGCAAACGGGAUUAGAUACCCCGGUAGUCCUAGCCGUAAACGAUGGGUACUAAGUAGAGGGAAUUACCGAUGUUCUCUCUGCCGUAGCUAACGCAUUAAGUGCCCCGCCUGGGGAGUACGGCCGCAAGGCUAAAACUCAAAAGAAUUGACGGGGGCUCGCACAAGCGGUGGAGCAUGUGGCUUAAUUCGAUGCAACGCGAAAAACCUUACAGGGGCUUGACAUGGUAGAAGUAGGAACCCGAAAGGGUAACGAACGGUAUCCAGUCCGUAGCUAUUACAGGUGUUGCAUGGCUGUCGUCAGCUCGUGUCGUGAGACGUUGGGUUAAGUCCCCUAACGAGCGAAACCCUUGUUUUUAGUUACCAGCGGGUUAUGCCGGGUACUCUAGAAAGACUGCCGUCGUCAAGACGGAGGAAGGUGGGGAUGACGUCAAGUCAUCAUGGCCCUUAUGCCCCGGGCUGCACACGUGCUACAAUGGUCGGUACAAACGGAAGCGAGG
rnacentral:rRNA from 1 species